rnacentral:lncRNA from 1 species
ACCUGCAUCUAUUACAAGAUGUCUCCGAUCCGAUUGUUGAUCCAUAAUCUCUGAAGGCUUAUGGGGGGAUUCAUGAGCCCAAUUAGACAAAUGGUAUGUACAAUUUCCUACCCCUUUCCUAGAACACUGCAAAUGAUGUCACCGUUUCAUGGAAUUCCAACCUUGACUUCCAUUGCUUGGAAAAGCGCGGCUUAGAAAUAGAAGAUGAUCC